CCAAUUUCGGGUUGAGCUUGAUGG
rnacentral:siRNA from 1 species